rnacentral:RNase_MRP_RNA from 2 species
ACGUCACUGGACGAAGUGAUUGGGCUUUGGACUUGUCAAAGUUCAGACUCAGGAAAGUCCCCGGGUCACUUUUCCGUAGAGAUACGGAACCUCGGCAAUGAGAGAAUCAUUACGUCGGAGAGACAUAUUAUCGGCUGAGACACGUGUGUGGAGCCUUCUCUUCGACGAAUGAUAAUAUGGCCGUUCGUUUCAAAACAGUUAUUCACUUGGGUCUUCCUUCGGACCAAACUGAACGGGGCUUAUGUUUCAGUGACA